rnacentral:rRNA from 1 species
AUGAUUAAGUACAAAGGACGCCUCUGGAUUGGGAAUAAUGCAGCAUUACAAACUAAACUGAUCAGUGAGCUACAUACAGCUGCGGUGGGAGGUCAUUCAGGUAUCCGUCCAACUUAUUUGCGACUGAAGAAUUUGUUCUUUUGGCCUGGCAUGAAACUACAAGUUGAGGAGUUUGUCAAGCAGUGCAGUGUCUGUCAGCAAGCGAAACACGAACAUGCACAUCCGUCGGGCACAUUACAACCCUUGCCGAUACCUGUUCGAGCCUGGGGCGAAGUAACGAUGGAUUUUAUUGAAGGGUUGCCGCGUUCAGAAGGGGCUGAUGUGAUUCUGGUGGUAGUGGAUCGAUUAACUAAAUAUUCACACUUCAUUCCACUCCAUCACCCAUUCACAGCUCUUCAGGUUGCUCGUGCAUUCCUCGACAACAUUGUCAAAUUGCAUGGUGUUCCAGAAUCAAUCGUUUCUGACCGGGAUAAGAUCUUCACGAGUGCAUUUUGGAGGGAACUAUUUGCGCUCGUCGGCACCAAGCUUCUUUACACUACCGCCUACCAUCCACAGACGGAUGGCCAGAGCGAAAGGGUGAAUCAAUGUCUUGAGCAUUAUCUACGUUGUGCUGUUCACGACACACCGUGUCGGUGGAAAAGAUGGUUACCAAUGGCAGAAUUCUGGUACAACUCGAGUCAUCACAGUGCGAUCGGGUGCUCGCCGUUCAAAGCUUUAUAUGGAGUGGAUCCGAACUUUGGUGCCCUGCCUAAUCUAUUCAACACAACGACUCCGGCAUCACUGCAUGAGCUGGCCGCAGAGCACCAACAGUUCACUGAAAUGCUAAAAGAACACCUACUGCAUGCACAACACAGAAUGAAACAUCAGGCUGAUCGCAAACGCACAGAGAGGGAGUUCAGUGUUGGUGAUCAAGUGCUACUCAAACUUCAACCGUAUGUGCAAUCCUCGGUGGUCAACCGGCCUUGUCCCAAACUGGCAUACAAAUUCUAUGGCCCAUACAAAGUCACCAGCCGCAUUGGCACUGUUGCGUACAAGUUGGAGCUGCCCCAGGAGAGUAAAAUUCACCCAGUUUUUCAUGUUUCGCAGCUUAAACCCUUCACGGCGGACUACUCGCCAGUCUUCAAUCAACUGCCCGCUCCACGGGACCUCACUGUCGGCGAUCUGGUUCCUUAG